rnacentral:rRNA from 1 species
UACGGGGGGGGGCAAGCGUUGUUCGGAAUUACUGGGCGUAAAGGGCGUGUAGGCGGCCAACUAAGUCCGACGUGAAAUCCCCAGGCUUAACCUGGGAACUGCGUCGGAUACUGGAUGGCUUGAAUCCGGGAGAGGGAUGCAGAAUUCCAGGUGUAGCGGUGAAAUGCGUAGAUAUCAGGAGGAACACCUAUUGCGAAGGCAGCUCGCUGGGACGUAACUGACGCUGAGACGCGAAAGCGUGGGGAGCAAACAGG